UACGUAGGGUGCAAGCGUUGUCCGGAAUUAUUGGGCGUAAAGAGCUCGUAGGCGGUUUGUCGCGUCGGUUGUGAAAGCCCGGGGCUCAACUCCGGGUCUGCAUUCGAUACGGGCAAACUAGAGUUCGGUAGGGGAGACUGGAAUUCCUGGUGUAGCGGUGAAAUGCGCAGAUAUCAGGAGGAACACCGAUGGCGAAGGCAGGUCUCUGGGCAUUAACUGACGCUGAGGAGCGAAAGCAUGGGGAGCGAACAGG
rnacentral:rRNA from 1 species